UUAACUAUUAGAUAGUACUCAGACGACACUAACAUUCAGAGUUUUAGGUCCUCUGACACGCGCGAGCCAGCCGGAGCCGGUGCCCAGAGGGUGGCGUGCCAAAGCAACAAAUAUAUAAUACGCAAAGGGUGAGGUUUGCUACCCAGAGGGCAGCGAACACUGUAAUGAUCCUUCCGCAGGUUCACCUACGGAAA
rnacentral:misc_RNA from 1 species